rnacentral:rRNA from 1 species
UACGAAGGGGGCUAGCGUUGCUCGGAAUCACUGGGGCGUAAAGCGCACGUAGGCGGCUUUUUAAGUCAGGGGUGAAAUCCUGGAGCUCAACUCCAGAACUGCCUUUGAUACUGAGAAGCUUGAGUCCGGGAGAGGUGAGUGGAACUGCGAGUGUAGAGGUGAAAUUCGUAGAUAUUCGCAAGAACACCAGUGGCGAAGGCGGCUCACUGGCCCGGUACUGACGCUGAGGUGCGAAAGCGUGGGGAGCAAACAGGG